rnacentral:rRNA from 1 species
AAUCUGCGAUAAGCGCCGGUAAGGUGAUAUGAACCGUUAUAACCGGCGAUUUCCGAAUGGGGAAACCCAGUGUGAUUCGUCACACUAUCAUUAACUGAAUCCAUAGGUUAAUGAGGCGAACCGGGGGAACUGAAACAUCUAAGUACCCCGAGGAAAAGAAAUCAACCGAGAUUCCCCCAGUAGCGGCGAGCGAACGGGGAGGAGCCCAGAGCCUGAAUCAGCAUGUGUGUUAGUGGAAGCGUCUGGAAAGGCGCGCGAUACAGGGUGACAGCCCCGUACACAAAAGCGCAUGUGCUGUGAGCUCGAUGAGUAGGGCGGGACACGUGGUAUCCUGUCUGAAUAUGGGGGGACCAUCCUCCAAGGCUAAAUACUCCUGACUGACCGAUAGUGAACCAGUACCGUGAGGGAAAGGCGAAAAGAACCCCGGCGAGGGGAGUGAAAAAGAACCUGAAACCGUGUACGUACAAGCAGUGGGAGCNNGUGACUGCGUACCUUUUGUAUAAUGGGUCAGCGACUUAUAUUCUGUAGCAAGGUUAACCGUAUAGGGGAGCCGGAGGGAAACCGAGUCUUAAUUGGGCGUUAAGUUGCAGGGUAUAGACCCGAAACCCGGUGAUCUAGCCAUGGGCAGGUUGAAGGUUGGGUAACACUAACUGGAGGACCGAACCGACUAAUGUUGAAAAAUUAGCGGAUGACCUGUGGCUGGGGGUGAAAGGCCAAUCAAACCGGGAGAUAGCUGGUUCUCCCCGAAAGCUAUUUAGGUAGCGCCUCGUGAAUUCAUCUCCGGGGGUAGAGCACUGUUUCGGCUAGGGGGCCAUCCCGGCUUACCAACCCGAUGCAAACUGCGAAUACCGGAGAAUGUUAUCACGGGAGACACACGGCGGGUGCUAACGUCCGUCGUGAAGAGGGAAACAACCCAGACCGCCAGCUAAGGUCCCAAAGUCAUGGUUAAGUGGGAAACGAUGUGGGAAGGCCCAGACAGCCAGGAUGUUGGCUUAGAAGCAGCCAUCAUUUAAAGAAAGCGUAAUAGCUCACUGGUCGAGUCGGCCUGCGCGGAAGAUGUAACGGGGCUAAACCAUGCACCGAAGCUGCGGCAGCGACGCUGAUGCGUUGUUGGGUAGGGGAGCGUUCUGUAAGCCUGCGAAGGUGACCUGUGAGGGUUGCUGGAGGUA